rnacentral:tRNA from 1 species
GGGCGAUUAGCUCAGGUGGUUAGAGCACGGUCCUGAUAAGACCGGGGUCGGUAGUUCGAGUCUACCAUCGCCCACCA